rnacentral:rRNA from 1 species
UACGUAGGGGGCAAGCGUUGUCCGGAAUCAUUGGGCGUAAAGAGCGUGUAGGCGGCUCGAUAAGUCUGCUGUGAAAGUCCAGGGCUCAACCCUGGAAGGCCGGUGGAAACUGUCGGGCUAGAGUCCGGAAGAGGCGAGUGGAAUUCCCGGUGUAGCGGUGAAAUGCGCAGAUAUCAGGAGGAACACCGGUGGCGAAGGCGGCAUCCUGGACCGGCAUUGACGCUGAGGAGCGAAAGCCAGGGGAGCAAACGGG